CGCGUAGGUGGUAGUGUAAGUCUGGGGUGGAAUCCCAGGGCUCAACCCUGGAACUGCCUUGGAAACUGCAUUACUUGAGUCAGUGAGGGGAGGGUAGAAUUCCUGGUGUAGCGGUGAAAUGCGUAGAUAUCAGGAGGAAGGCCUGUGGCGAAGGCGGCCCUCUGGCGCUGGACUGACACUGAGGCGCGAAAGCGUGGGGAGCAAACAGGAUUAGAUACCCUGGUAGUCCACGCCCUAAACAGUGGGCACUAGGUGUAGGGCUCGUAAGGGUUCUGUGCCGAAGGGAAACCAUUAAGUGCCCCGCCUGGGGAGUACGGCCGCAAGGUUGAA
rnacentral:rRNA from 1 species